rnacentral:misc_RNA from 1 species
CCCAACUAUCCCUAUUAAUCAUUACGCCGCCUCUAGAAACCAACAAAAAUAAAGAAGCGAUGUCCUAUUCUAUUAUCCCAUGCUAAUGUAUUCAAGGCGUAUGUUUUGGCACCUGCUUUGAACACUCUAAUUUUUUCAAGGUAACAGUCCUAAUUCCCCGUGACACCAAAUUAAUGGCAUUACGGUUCUUUAGAAGGUGAGAAAUCAAUAAUAUCAGUACAUACCAACGGCAUGACCGAAACAUUGAUCCCGAAAUUCAACUACGAGCUUUUUAACUGCAACAACUUUAAUAUACGCUAUUGGAGCUGGAAUUACCGCGGCUGCUGGCACCAGACUUGCCCUCCAA